CGGGUGAGUAAUGCCUAGGAAUCUGCCUGGUAGUGGGGGAUAACGUUCGGAAACGGACGCUAAUACCGCAUACGUCCUACGGGAGAAAGCAGGGGACCUUCGGGCCUUGCGCUAUCAGAUGAGCCUAGGUCGGAUUAGCUAGUUGGUGAGGUAAUGGCUCACCAAGGCGACGAUCCGUAACUGGUCUGAGAGGAUGAUCAGUCACACUGGAACUGAGACACGGUCCAGACUCCUACGGGAGGCAGCAGUGGGGAAUAUUGGACAAUGGGCGAAAGCCUGAUCCAGCCAUGCCGCGUGUGUGAAGAAGGUCUUCGGAUUGUAAAGCACUUUAAGUUGGGAGGAAGGGUUGUAGAUUAAUACUCUGCAAUUUUGACGUUACCGACAGAAUAAGCACCGGCUAACUCUGUGCCAGCAGCCGCGGUAAUACAGAGGGUGCAAGCGUUAAUCGGAAUUACUGGGCGUAAAGCGCGCGUAGGUGGUUUGUUAAGUUGGAUGUGAAAUCCCCGGGCUCAACCUGGGAACUGCAUUCAAAACUGACUGACUAGAGUAUGGUAGAGGGUGGUGGAAUUUCCUGUGUAGCGGUGAAAUGCGUAGAUAUAGGAAGGAACACCAGUGGCGAAGGCGACCACCUGGACUAAUACUGACACUGAGGUGCGAAAGCGUGGGGAGCAAACAGGAUUAGAUACCCUGGUAGUCCACGCCGUAAACGAUGUCAACUAGCCGUUGGAAGCCUUGAGCUUUUAGUGGCGCAGCUAACGCAUUAAGUUGACC
rnacentral:rRNA from 1 species